rnacentral:rRNA from 1 species
AUGCGCCUCUCGACGCCGUACUGCGCAUCAUCGACCAGGACCCUGGCCGCCGCCGCCACGGUCUCCUCCUCCACUCGUGCAUCUACCCAGGAAUCCAGGAGGCAUCACCUGGCCUUCUCUGUGCCGGAUUCCGACAGGUUUGCGACCAAGCUGAAGAACCCUGGCACAGACUUGUUCGCGAAGACGCAACCCGAUGGCCGCGCGCGCCAGGUGUUCUUCCUCGACCGGGACGGGAAUCAAAUUUUCAAUGGAGGAAGAUGGCCUCAGCUUUUUUGGUUGCUACUGUAUCUCCAAUAG